GGGGAUGUAUUGCUUUGACGUGAUGUGCUCAUUAAUAUCUGCAGACGCUCUUUAACCCACAGAGCAAAACAGGGUUAACAAUCAACUGCCAAUAAAGCAGAUCGAAUUGUGGCAAAAGCCUACACCACUUUGACUAACGUCUUCGGUGGCGAAUCUUCUGUCGCAUCAGUUCAGCCAGCUUACUUAGUUGCCUAACUGACAUUCAUACCUUUCACUCUCACUGAUGGUGAGGUAUGGGUGACAACUCAGUCAGUGUGACUGCCUAGUGUUUAUGUCGACUAGGCGCAAGCUUUAAGACAUAGAUUGUCAAAGGUGGCUCGUUUUCUCUUCCUCUUUGACAGUAACAAGAGAAUCCUACGUCUGUAGAUGAUAUCAGUGACGCCGUUGCGGACAGGGGUUCAUUACCCCUCAUCUCCACAU
rnacentral:tmRNA from 1 species